GACGAACGCUGGCGGCGUGCUUAACACAUGCAAGUCGAACGGAGCAAAUGAAAGCUUGCUUUUAUGAGCUUAGUGGCAAACGGGUGAGUAACACGUAGACAACCUGCCGACAGGAUGGGGACAACAUUCCGAAAGGAAUGCUAAUACCGAAUGAAGCGGAGGAGAGGCAUCUCUCUUCCGUGAAAGAUGGCCUCUGAACAUGCUAUCACCUGUCGAUGGGUCUGCGUCUGAUUAGCUGGUUGGUGAGGUAACGGCUCACCAAGGCGACGAUCAGUAGCCGGUCUGAGAGGAUGAACGGCCACAUUGGGACUGAGACACGGCCCAGACUCCUACGGGAGGCAGCAGUGGGGAAUCUUCCGCAAUGGGCGCAAGCCUGACGGAGCAACGCCGCGUGAGUGAAGAAGGUCUUCGGAUCGUAAAGCUCUGUUGACGGGGACGAACGUGCGAGAGGGAAUAAACUCUU
rnacentral:rRNA from 1 species